rnacentral:rRNA from 1 species
UACAGAGGUCCCAAGCGUUGUUCGGAUUCACUGGGCGUAAAGGGUGCGUAGGUGGCUUGGUAAGUUUGAUGUGAAAUCUCCGGGCUUAACCCGGAAAUGGCAUUGAAUACUAUUGAGCUGGAGGUUUGGAGGGGGGACUGGAAUUCUCGGUGUAGCAGUGAAAUGCGCAGAUAUCGGGAGGAACACCUAUGGCGAAGGCAGCUCGCUGGGACGUUACUGACGCUGAGACGCGAAAGCGUGGGGAGCGAACAGG